AUGUGGUAUUGCUGUGGCUGUGGUGUAGGCCAGCAGCUGUAGCUCCAUUUCGACCCCUAGCCUGGGAACCUCCAUAUGCCACUGGUACAACCCUAAAAAGCAAAAAAAAAAAAAAUUAUGUUAAAGGUAAGUGUCCCUGGGUAAAUAGUAAGGGGGGAGAAACUUGGCUUCUCACUAAUGGACGAAAUUUUGACUUUGGUUCUAAUGCCAGUGAGCUGGGUCAGAAACACAAAUGUUUGCUCAUUUAAUUUGGGCUAAUAAUCUAGUCCUUCAGUCUUUUUAAAAAUAGAAGGUUAAAAAAUACUUAGACUUUUUUUAGGUAACAUAAAGGUGCUUCAGGCACUCCUGUCUGUAGACCUUGAUUUAGUUUUGGGAGGUAAUAGACUCCUUCCAGAAUUUGAUGACAAUUCUAGACUUUUUCUCUGAAGAAAUUUCACUCCCAGAGAGAUUUGCCUAUAAUUGCAGGUUGUGUAUGGACCCUCCAAAUUUCACCAAGGCCCCUGUAGGAUCUGUCCGUAGGGUCCCAGUUGAAGAAACCUGACCCUUGCCUUCAAAGUAGGGCCUAUGCUUAAUUUUUUGUGCUAUAAAUAUUUAGCCCUUUAAUCCCUGACAUCAACAUAGCACCUGAGGCAUAUUUGACUUUCUUGCUGAGUUUAUUUAAAUGGAAAUAUUUUAUUUAGUUCUUUUGUAAUGAAAUAUGGGAGUUCCCAUUGUAGUGCAGUGGAAAGGAAACCGACUAGGAACCAUGAGGUUGCAGGUUCAAUCCCUGGCCUCCCUCAGUGGGUUAAGGAGCCGGUGUUGCUGUGAGUUGUUGUGUAGGUUGCAGACGCUGCUUGGAUCUGGCGUUGCUCUGGCCGUGGUGUAGGCCAGCAGCUACAGCUCAAAUUGAACCCCUAGCCUGGGAACCUCCAUAUGCCUCAGGUCCAGCCCUGAAAAGCAAAAUAAAUAAAUAAAUAAAACUUUAUUAGAGUAAAAAGCAGAUAAGCAUUUAGCACUUAAGCACUUUUAAAUGUUAUGAAUGCUGUUGCCCUUAUAUAACCUAUUCAUGAUAUUUUCUCCUGCCGUGCCUUCCUUGGUUUCUCUUUAAUAUCUCAAUAAUUCAUCCAUUUCAUGGACAGGAGCAAUUCAUCCCAGGGUUCACAUGCUUUUGGAAAAAUUAAAAAAAAACUGACUUUCACUCCAUUUCAGCAACAGUUGAUAGCUAAAAAGUUUAAAUAAUAAUGGGUAUGUUUCAUGUAAUGAUUAAACUUUUAAAAAAUGUUUGAAGGAGUUCCCCUUGUGGCUCAGUGAGUUAAGAACCCAAUGUUGUCUCUAUUAGGAUGCAGGUUUGAUCCCUAGCCUCGCUCUAGUGGGUUAGGGUUAGGGGUAGGGUGAGUGUUGCUGCAAGCUGUGGCAUAGGUUACAGAUGUGACUUGGAUCUGGUGUUGCUGUGGCUGUGGCACAGGCCGGCAGCUGCAGCUCCAAUUCAACCCUUAGCCUGUGAAUUUCCAUAUGCUGCAGGUGUGGCCC
rnacentral:lncRNA from 1 species